UACGGAGGGUGCGAGCGUUGUCCGGAAUCAUUGGGCGUAAAGAGCGUGUAGGCGGCCAGAUAAGUCCGCUGUGAAAUCUCGAAGGCUCAACUUCGAGCUGUCGGUGGAAACUGUCUGGCUAGAGUCCGGAAGAGGAGAAUGGAAUUCCUGGUGUAGCGGUGAAAUGCGCAGAUAUCAGGAAGAACACCCGUGGCGAAGGCGGUUCUCUGGGACGGUACUGACGCUGGAGGUGCGAAAGCGUGGGGAGCAAACAGG
rnacentral:rRNA from 1 species